UGCUGCCAUGUUCCCACCUUGAUGAUAAUGGACUGAACCUCUGAACCUGUGUUUCACCUAGAUGCAUUAUCUGUGGGUGUUGGAUCCCUGGAGCUGGAGUUGUGAGCUGCAACAUGGAUGAUGGGAAUUGAACACGGGUCCUCGGGAAGAGCAACCAACCAGUCCUUUUAACUGCUGAGCCAUCUCCACAGCCCUGGAAGUCCCAUCGCCCCAGGCCUGUUAAGUUCCUAUCUGCAUAAUCUAAAUAGCAACUUUCUGACCUGC